CAUUUCUUGUCUAAAGGUUGUUUUCCCCUUAAAUUUCUUGUCUAACGGUUGUUUUCUAGACAGCUGUGAUUGAAAUUAUGCCCCAUGUUUGAUUUAAUGCUUUAACCUUCAGAAUGUUGGUGAAUAUAGGAAAAUCUGUUCUUUCUCAGCUUUAACUCUUUCUCUCUGAUGUAAUGUCAUUUUUAUACAUCCUUUUUAAAAUGAAGUGUUUUCUCUUUAAUGGCUGGUUCUCCUGUGAAAAGCAUCUGAAGUUCUAAGGGCUUUUGUUCUCUGUUCUGGUAACAUGUGUUAUCACAGAUGCUGUUGGACAGACUUCUUCUGGUGUUGUUUUCCAGACGGAAAAGAAGACUACGUAGUGUCUGUCAUAGUUAUCUUCCAGUUUUACUACUUAUAAGAAAUCAGUACAUCGAACUGGAAACGUGAUGAAAGGAAAAUGCUAGCCUGUUGCAUAGGCAAAAACAUUUUUUUAGGGUCGUAUAUUUCUACUUUGAUUGUUUUAGAUCUUGAUCUUUGAUUCAAGGUGUUUGUUGAUUUCCUCGUAUUAUUUAUUUUAAUGUUGUUGAUUACAUUUUGGCUAAGAUAUGAAAGGAAAUUGAAUUUUCAAUGGAUCUUGCUAUUGCAAGGGACAUA